rnacentral:tRNA from 1 species
UCUAAUGUGGCAGAACUAAUGUAAUGAAUUUAAGAUUCAUUUAUAAAUACCCUUAUUUCUUUAGAA